rnacentral:rRNA from 1 species
AUUGAACGCUGGCGGCAGGCCUAACACAUGCAAGUCGAACGGUAAGAGGAAGAAGCUUGCUUCUUUGCUGACGAGUGGCGGACGGGUGAGUGAUGUCUGGGAAACUGCCUGAUGGAGGGGGAUAACUACUGGAAACGGUAGCUAAUACCGCAUAACGUCGCAAGACCAAAGAGGGGGACCUUCGGGCCUCUUGCCAUCGGAUGUGCCCAGAUGGGAUUAGCUAGUAGGUGGGGUAACGGCUCACCUAGGCGACGAUCCCUAGCUGGUCUGAGAGGAUGACCAGCCACACUGGAACUGAGACACGGUCCAGACUCCUACGGGAGGCAGCAGUGGGGAAUAUUGCACAAUGGGCGCAAGCCUGAUGCAGCCAUGCCGCGUGUAUGAAGAAGGCCUUCGGGUUGUAAAGUACUUUCAGCGGGGAGGAAGGGAGUAAAGUUAAUACCUUUGCUCAUUGACGUUACCCGCAGAAGAAGCACCGGCUAACUCCGUGCCAGCCGCCGCCGUAACAC